rnacentral:rRNA from 1 species
AUUGAACGCUGGCGGCAUGCUUUACACAUGCAAGUCGAACGGUAACAGGCCGCAAGGUGCUGACGAGUGGCGAACGGGUGAGUAAUGUAUCGGAACGUGCCCAGUCGUGGGGGAUAACGCAGCGAAAGCUGCGCUAAUACCGCAUACGAUCUAUGGAUGAAAGCGGGGGACCGUAAGGCCUCGCGCGAUUGGAGCGGCCGAUAUCAGAUUAGGUAGUUGGUGGGGUAAAGGCUCACCAAGCCAACGAUCUGUAGCUGGUCUGAGAGGACGACCAGCCACACUGGGACUGAGACACGGCCCAGACUCCUACGGGAGGCAGCAGUGGGGAAUUUUGGACAAUGGGCGCAAGCCUGAUCCAGCAAUGCCGCGUGCAGGAAGAAGGCCUUCGGGUUGUAAACUGCUUUUGUACGGAACGAAACGGUCCUGGUUAAUACCUGGGGCUAAUGACGGUACCGUAAGAAUAAGCACCGGCUAACUACGUGCCAGCCGCCGCCGUAAGAC